AACCAUAGAAACCUGCGGAGUACCUGCGGAAGGAUCAUUACAAGUGACCCCGGUCUAACCACCGGGAUGUUCAUAACCCUUUGUUGUCCGACUCUGUUGCCUCCGGGGCGACCCUGCCUUCGGGCGGGGGCUCCGGGUGGACACUUCAAACUCUUGCGUAACUUUGCAGUCUGAGUAAAUUUAAUUAAUAAAUUAAAACUUUCAACAAUGGAUCU
rnacentral:misc_RNA from 1 species